rnacentral:sRNA from 1 species
GGAUGUGAGGGCGAUCUGGCUGCAACACUUGACACCUUGUUGAUGGCCAAGGUUGAUUCAGCCCACCUGGUUGGCUAGACAGGUGUCCCCUUCUUCCCUCACUGCUCCAUGUGUGUCCUUCUCAAAGCUGCAUGCUCUGUAGAAGAGGAGACCUCCCCUGACAGAGGAGAACCAUUCUUUGGUCAAGAGUAUAAUGUAGCUACACUUCCCUGGUAGAGCCUCUCAACAGGAUCUCAAGAAUCCCAUAUCUCUGGUCUUCCUUCCCCUCCUCCCCAGAAAAAAGAAUCUCAUUCCCAGCUAAGAGUUU